rnacentral:lncRNA from 1 species
UCAUCAUUUCUUUUGAUAUGUAACCCAAUCAUUUAUGCCAUAAUAUUGAAGAACUCUCAUUUAUAAUACCACGUUUCAUUCCAAUAUUGACAUUCAAAAUAAAUAAAGAUUAUAUAAAAGAAGAAUCCAAAUUUAUUUUAUAUAAUCCAUUACAUAUUAUUCUAGUACCAACCAAAAUAAAAAUUUUCAUUAAUUUAAAACUUGAAUUUAUAAAA